GGGAGGUGGCUGAGUGGUCAAAAGCAGCAGACUGUAAAUCUGCCGGUGUAAGCCUACGUAGGUUCGAAUCCUGCCCUCCCC
rnacentral:tRNA from 1 species